AUACGUAGGGGGCGAGCGUUAUCCGGAAUUAUUGGGCGUAAAGAGUACGUAGGUGGUUGCGUAAGCGCAAGGUGAAAGACCGGGGCUUAACUUCGGUGAGCCUUGUGAACUGCGUGACUUGAGUGCAGGAGGGGAAAGUGGAAUUCCUAGUGUAGCGGUGAAAUGCGUAGAUAUUAGGAAGAACACCGGUGGCGAAGGCGGCUAUCUGGACAGUAACUGACGCUGAGGCGCGAAAGCGUGGGGAGCAAACAGGAUUAGAUACCCGGGUAGUCCUAGCCGUAAACGAUGCGGACUUGGUGUUGGGAUGGCUUUGAGCCGCUUCGGUGCCGAAGGGAAGCUGUUAAGUCCGCCGCCUGGGAAGUACGGUCGCAAGACUGAAACUUAAAGGAAUUGACGGGG
rnacentral:rRNA from 1 species